rnacentral:tRNA from 1 species
GCUCCUGUAGUUCAGUGGAUAGAGCGUCUGUUUCCUAAGCAGUAGGCCGUAGGUUCGACCCCUACCUGGCGCG